rnacentral:tRNA from 1 species
UCCCUGGUGGCCCAGUGGCUAAGACUCCACACUUCCAAUGCAGGGAGCCUGGGUUCGAUUCCUGGCUGGGGAA